rnacentral:RNase_P_RNA from 1 species
CGGGAAGACCAGAUGUCCGCUGCCGGGGUGCCUCGUGCGCCUUGGGAGAGGAAAGUCCGGACACCACAGGGCGGGAUACUUCCUAACAGGAAGGUGCAGCAAUGCACAGCCAGCUCCACAGAAACAAACCGCCGAGAGUCUUAUCUGAUGUAAAUCCGUUGUGAGACCACGGUUUUUAAUUUUGGGAGACUCUUUGGCAAGGGUGAAAUGGUGGUGUAAGAGACCACCGGCGAUGACGGUGACGACAUCGGCCAGGAAAGCCUUAUCCGGUGCAAUGCCAAAUAGGG